rnacentral:tRNA from 1 species
CAGGAGGUAGUUAACAUAUAACAUUAAUUUUGGAGAUUAAAAUAAAUAAAUUUCCCCCUGA